GGACAAUGAUGAUUUGUGUUAGGUCUCGUUCGUCGUAAUGUCUCUUCUGGGACUUGCCGACUAUCGUGAUAUAUCACCACCCAUAGUCUGAGUCCUUGUUUUAUAUCCAAAAUUUAUAUCGACCUCAAUGGAUUAUUGCUUUUCUGCUUUAAUUUGCUGAUUUCAUUGCUCUUCUUGAGCAAUUGAUCUAACCUAGUGAAGUAGUGAUGUGAGCAGAAGAGAAAAGUCAUUCAGGAGGGACAUUUGAUCAAUAUCAGCUUAACUAUCAUACUUGGUUGUAGCGGACAUUUUGGAACAAAUUCACUUAACGAAACCAAUUUGAAGCAUCGAGGGAAUCAUUUUGAGCUAAAUAAUUGUCGACAUGAACCACAACUGAUUUCAAUAAACUUGAGCAGGUAGAAAUAACCCCCAUAUUAGG
rnacentral:lncRNA from 1 species